rnacentral:rRNA from 1 species
GAGGAAAAGAAACCAACAGGGAUUGCCUCAGUAACGGCGAGUGAAGCGGCAAAAGCUCAAAUUUGAAACCCUCGGGAUUGUAAUUUGAAGAUUUGGCAUUGGAGAAAGCUAACCCAAGUUGCUUGGAAUAGUACGUCAUAGAGGGUGACAACCCCGUCUGGCUAACCGUUCUCCAUGUAUUGCCUUAUCAAAGAGUCGAGUUGUUUGGGAAUGCAGCUCAAAGUGGGUGGUAAACUCCAUCUAAAGCUAAAUACUGGUGAGAGACCGAUAGCGAACAAGUACUGUGAAGGAAAGGUGAAAAGAACUUUGAAAAGAGAGUGAAAUAGUAUGUGAAAUUGUUGAUAGGGAAGGAAAUGAGUGGAGAGUGGCCGAGGUUUCAGCCGCCCCUCGUGGGCGGUGUACUGCCGACGCCGAGUCAUCGAUAGCGAGACGAGGGUUACAAAUGGGAGCGCCUUCGGGCGUUCUCCCCUAACCCUCCACACUGCCACCGACGACAUAAUCCACCCAUUUCACCCGUCUUGAAACACGG